UACACAUGUCCAGGAAGAGGAAGAUGAAUAUUCUGAACUGCAUAUUCAAGUGUGAAAACUAGCCAUUUGACACUUUAAGCUGCUGAUAUUUUUGUCAUUUGAGCGUCGACACUCAGACAUCGACACUGCAGCGCGAAAUUACUAUGGUGCCGUCACUCGUAACAUCUCUUCCUCUGAUCUUGGUGAUCAUGACUGCGGGGGUUGAUGGUCAGCAGGAUUGGGGAGUGAAUUAUAGUCAUUCAUAUGUUUGUGCAUUAAAGGGGUCAACAGUGAAACUGUCCUGUACUGUAAAAUAUCCUCAUAAUCAUGUGCUUAAAACAGUCUUCUGGACCAAACCUGUAGCUUAUGGAGAUCCACCAAACGUGUGUUCAGUCCCAAAAAAGAGAGGAAGAGUUCAGUGUGACCGUGAAUAU